GUGCUUGCUUCGGCAGCUCAUAUAAUAAAAUUGGAACAACUCAGGGAUCAGCAAGGUCCCUGCACAAGGAUGAUACGCAAAUCCGUGGAGCAUUCCAUGUUUUA